CCGGCCUGAGAGGGCGACCGGCCACACUGGGACUGAGACACGGCCCAGACUCCUACGGGAGGCAGCAGUGGGGAAUAUUGCGCAAUGGGCGAAAGCCUGACGCAGCGACGCCGCGUGAGGGAUGAAGGCCUUCGGGUUGUAAACCUCUUUCAGCAGGGAAGAAGCGAAAGUGACGGUACCUGCGCAAAAAACACCGGCUAACUAUGUGCCACCAGCCGCGGUAAUAC
rnacentral:rRNA from 1 species